AACCAAGACGUAUCGUUCUUU
rnacentral:snRNA from 1 species